rnacentral:rRNA from 1 species
GACGAACGCUGGCGGCGUGCUUAACACAUGCAAGUCGAACGAAGAGCGAUGGAAGCUUGCUUCUAUCAAUCUUAGUGGCGAACGGGUGAGUAACGCGUAAUCAACCUGCCCUUCAGAGGGGGACAACAGUUGGAAACGACUGCUAAUACCGCAUACGAUCUAAUCUCGGCAUCGAGGAUAGAUGAAAGGUGGCCUCUACAUGUAAGCCAUCACUGAAGGAGGGGAUUGCGUCUGAUCAGCUAGUUGGAGGGGUAACGGCCCACCAAGGCGAUGAUCAGUAGCCGGUCUGAGAGGAUGAACGGCCACACUGGGACUGAGACACGGCCCAGACUCCUACGGGAGGCAGCAGUGGGGAAUCUUCCGCAAUGGACGAAAGUCUGACGGAGCAACGACGCGUGAGUGAUGACGGCCUUCGGGUCGUAAAGCUCUGUUAAUCGGGACGAAAGGACUUCUUGCGAAUAGGGAGAAGGAUUGACGGUACCGGAAUAGAAAGCCACGGCUAACUACGUG